CAGUUCCUGCAGAAAGUGAGGCUGCCCCAGGCCCCCAGCCAUCAGCCCUCCUGCUCCCAGGGGCUAUCUGCUGCCCCAAGGCAAGUGACUUGGCCUCCAACCUGCAGAGAGGAACCUCUUCCUGAGGUGCUGGGAUUACAGGCAUGUACAACCAUGUCUGGUUUAUGCAGUGAGAGGGGUCAAUCCUGGAUGCUACCUGAGAACAUUCUUAAGCUUUGGGGUUGGUGGAAGCUAGUCGGGUGGCGCCGUAGAGAUGGCUCAGCGGUUAAGAGCACUGACUG